rfam:Gossypium hirsutum cultivar TM-1 chromosome 21, whole genome shotgun sequence
AUCCCAUGAUGAGGACACUUACAAAGUAAUUAUUUGAAUCUCUCCCAUGCCUCGUACAAAGACUCAUCGACCAAUUGCUGGAAAGUGGUGAUCUCAUUUUGCAAUU